rnacentral:rRNA from 1 species
AUUGAACGCUGGCGGCAGGCCUAACACAUGCAAGUCGAGCGAGCGGCGGACGGGUGAGUAAUGCCUAGGUAUCUGCCUCGUAGUGGGGGAUAACGUCCGGAAACGGGCGCUAAUACCGCAUACUAUCAGAUGAGCCUAGGGGGGAUUAGCUAGUAGGUGGGGUAACGGCUCACCUAGGCGACGAUCCCUAGCUGGUCUGAGAGGAUGACCAGCCACACGGGAACUGAGACACGGGCCAGACUCCUACGGGAGGCAGCAGUGGGGAAUAUUGCACAAUGGGCGCAAGCCUGAUGCAGCCAUGCCGCGUGUAUGAAGAAGGCCUUCGGGUUGUAAAGUACUUUCAGCGAGGAGGCGUUACUCGCAGAAGAAGCACCGGCUAACUCCGUGCCAGCAGCCGCGGUAAUAC